UGCCUACGGGGGGCAGCAGUGGGGAAUAUUGCACAAUGGGGGAAACCCUGAUGCAGCCAAGCCGCGUGAGGGAAGACGGCCCUAUGGGUUGUAAACCUCUUUUGUCGGAGAACAAAACCCGGGACGUGUCCCGGACUGCGUGUAUCCGAAGAAAAAGCAUCGGCUAACUCCGUGCCAGCAGCCGCGGUAAUACGGAGGAUGCGAGCGUUAUCCGGAUUUAUUGGGUUUAAAGGGUGCGUAGGCGGUCCGUUAAGUCAGCGGUAAAAUUGCGGGGCUCAACCCCGUCGAGCCGUUGAAACUGGCAG
rnacentral:rRNA from 1 species